rnacentral:rRNA from 1 species
GAUGAACGCUGGCGGCGUGCCUAAUACAUGCAAGUCGAGCGAACGGACGAGAAGCUUGCUUCUCUGAUGUUAGCGGCGGACGGGUGAGUAACACGUGGAUAACCUACCUAUAAGACUGGGAUAACUUCGGGAAACCGGAGCCAAUACCGGAUAAUAUUUUGAACCGCAUGGUUCAAAAGUGAAAGACGGUCUUGCUGUCACUUAUAGAUGGAUCCGCGCUGCAUUAGCUAGUUGGUAAGGUAACGGCUUACCAAGGCAACGAUGCAUAGCCGACCUGAGAGGGUGAUCGGCCACACUGGAACUGAGACACGGUCCAGACUCCUACGGGAGGCAGCAGUAGGGAAUCUUCCGCAAUGGGCGAAGGCCUGACGGAGCAACGCCGCGUGAGUGAUGAAGGUCUUCGGAUCGUAAAACUCUGUUAUUAGGGAAGAACAUAUGUGUAAGUAACUGUGCACAUCUUGACGGUACCUAAUCAGAAAGCCACGGCUAACUACGUG